rnacentral:rRNA from 1 species
GACGAACGCUGGCGGCGUGCCUAAUACAUGCAAGUCGAACGCACAGUUUAUACCGUAGCUUGCUACACCAUAGACUGUGAGUUGCGAACGGGUGAGUAACGCGUAGGUAACCUGCCUGGUAGCGGGGGAUAACUAUUGGAAACGAUAGCUAAUACCGCAUAAUAUUGAUUAUUGCAUGAUAAUUGAUUGAAAGAUGCUAUUGCAUCACUACCAGAUGGACCUGCGUUGUAUUAGCUAGUAGGUGAGGUAACGGCUCACCUAGGCGACGAUACAUAGCCGACCUGAGAGGGUGAUCGGCCACACUGGGACUGAGACACGGCCCAGACUCCUACGGGAGGCAGCAGUAGGGAAUCUUCGGCAAUGGACGAAAGUCUGACCGAGCAACGCCGCGUGAGUGAAGAAGGUUUUCGGAUCGUAAAGCUCUGUUGUAAGAGAAGAACGGGUGUGAGAGUGGAAAGUUCACACUGUGACGGUAUCUUACCAGAAAGGGACGGCGAACUACGU